UACGGAGGGAGCUAGCGUUGUUCGGAAUUACUGGGCGUAAAGCGCACGUAGGCGGCUAUUCAAGUCGGGGGUGAAAGCCCGGGGCUCAACCCCGGAACUGCCCUCGAAACUAGAUAGCUAGAAUCUUGGAGAGGCGAGUGGAAUUCCGAGUGUAGAGGUGAAAUUCGUAGAUAUUGGGAAGAACACCGGUGGCGAAGGCGGCGACCUGGUCCGAUACUGACGCUGAGGCGCGAAAGCGUGGGGAGCAAACAGG
rnacentral:rRNA from 1 species